UACGUAAGGGGCAAGCGUUGUCCGGAAUCAUUGGGCGUAAAGCGCGCGUAGGCGGCCCGGUAAGUCCGCUGUGAAAGUCCAGGGCUCAACCCUGGAAAGCCGGUGGAUACUGCCGGGCUAGAGUCCGGAAGAGGCGAGUGGAAUUCCUGGUGUAGCGGUGGAAUGCGCAGAUAUCAGGAGGAACACCAAUAGCGAAGGCAGCUCGCUGGGACGGUACUGACGCUGAGGUGCGAAAGCGUGGGGAGCAAACAGG
rnacentral:rRNA from 1 species